AUUUUUAGUAGAGACAGGGUUUCACCAUGUUGGCCAGGCUGGUCUCAAUCUCUUGACCUCGUGAUCCACCGGCCUCAGCCUCCCAAAGUGCUGGUAUUAUAGGCAUAAGCCACGGGACCCGGCCCACCCUUCCAUUCUUUGGGCAUCCUCUGGCCAAACUCCUUUGCAACCAUCAGACCCAAGCAACUGUGUGGCCAGCUUCCUGGACCUGGUCCUGGACAGGGGCACUCAGCAUGGAGGUCAAGGUCAAUGUGGUCAUGCCCCCUGUAACCCCCUCCCCAACAUCUCCCAGAGAUGAUUCCCACAGUCACCGAGCUCCUCAAUGAUCACGGUAGCGCUGGGCUCAGAGAGGGCGCCUGCCACAUGGGUCCGGUAGCUGCAGCUAUAGUUGCCAGCCCGGUGGACAGGAAAGGCGGCCUCCACAUCCUCCUGGGCCUCAGGCAUCUCCAGAAAUUCAUGGUCGCCUUCCCGCCUCAGCAGAAAAGUCACACCCAGAAGCCCGCCUCGGCACACUGCUGUUGUGUUCAGGCCGGGUGUGAUCCAGGACACAGGCGUCAUUGAGAGCCAGGGAGGAGGCAAGGACUCUGUGGGUGGGGUGGAGUUGAAGAGUGGUUCUGCAUAACACGGGAGACACGGGAAGCCCAGCAGAACCUGGGCCCCAUCCUCAAAAAAUGUGAGGGAGACAGGGAUGGAGGGCAUUGCUGGGAAAAGGCAGCCAGGCACUGGUGGAAACAAGGCGUACAGCAAGAGAAAGGAGUGUGUGGGAGCUGUAUGGCAUGCCGGGCCUGCUGGGGACACAACCAUUUAUUCCUCACAACACUCUGGGGUUAGCACAGAUAUCAUCCCAUUUGACAGAUGGGAAGAUUGAGGCUCAGAGACAUCAGGUGACUUGGAGGACGGGAGGCCCCCAGUCAGUCACCUACUCACUGCCUCCCGGCCCCCAAUUCAUGCCCCGGCUUACUUGGCCCCGUCAGUUCCAGGAGCUUGCUCAGCUGGCUCCAUCUUGUGAACAACCCUGAACGGCAGCGGUAGCGGCCCCGGGUGUCACCCGUCAGCAGGAACUGGUGCUUGAUGGCAGGGACCCAGACCCUGGGAGGCCUCACCCCAGAGCAAGAGAGAGGCCACCAGUAUGGACAUGAUGGUCGUGCUCACUCCGGUGCAGUAUCUGGGUGCUGGAUCCUGUUCUAGAAUGGGACCCUGAGCUCUCCCCACUCUGACUGGAGCUGCUGAGGUCAAGUGGACAGUGCCAGGGCUGAAGCCCAGUAAAAACCUCCCUGUCACACCAAACCGCACGUGU